CCUUGUCGCGUGUGCGAGAGGCCAUACCCCGCACAGUAGUCGUCGUCGCCCAACAUCUUCGCCCGCACGGAUCUCCAAGCACCAUCUGCCACGCGACUCUCGCCGCAUCAGCGGCAUGAUCACGCGCACGCACAGAGCUGAGCAUACACACACACACAGCAUCGUGCGACAACACCCACCCAGCGCCCCGAGCACAGCGCAACAGCCACGGCCCAAGAGAACGUGCACCCCGAAGUACGCGCACCCCGUUCGACAGAUCCACAGAUGCACGCGGAGCGCGGCAAGUGAUAUCGAGCGAGAACAGUACGUGGAAUGGCAGGCACGGAGGCGUGUGAAGCCGCAGCAGCCUCCUCGGUGCUGACGGUGGGCACCAUUGUCGCCUACGAAUGCCUCCUCGACGCAACGGCAGGGACGGCAUCGUGGCGGGUUGGAACCAUUCUGGCGCUCCCCUCAUCCUCGCCCUCCACCGGUGACAACACCAUGGAAGGAGGCACCACUGAACCUGCCGGGAGAAGCGCCAAGUCCAAGAAUGACCCAAACUCGCUAAAGCCCACGCCGCAGAAGGCGAGCCGCGUCGACGGCAGCGCUCCAAAUGAUGAGGGCAAUGUUGCGGUUGUGGCCACCCCGCCGCUGAUGCCGGCAUCUGCGUGUCAGACGGUGCUGAUCCAGCCAUGGAUCUCGCUGGCGUCGACGGCCGGUUCACACGGAGACGCUGGGCACGCCAGCCCGUCAGGUGGCACCAGCCGUCGCUCCCCCUCAUCCGAGCAGCACGGCGUCACGUCGGCCGUUCGCCUGGCCGAGAUCAACGCCAUGCAGAGGGAGCUCGAAGCAGUUGAGCACUUCGCCCGGGGUGAAGGCGACGGCGGCGAUGACGACGGAAACGACAAGCGACUCGCCGGGGAGCUCUCGCAGGCGUACACGCGCGUGCUCGCCUUCAGAUCCCAGUCCAGAGGGUACAGCAGCCUCCGCGCCGGCGACCCGCACCGCGGCAGCGAGGAGGGUACCAUCGUCGUGGUCGACAACGACGACGACGACCCAAAUCCAGAGCUGACCCGACAAAUAGAGCACAAGCUCGCCGAGUUCCGCAAGCGUAUUGCGAAUACGCUUAGCGGUCUGAAGACGGCGCGUCGGGACCAGCGCGAGCUGCAAGCGGCCCAGAAGAAGGUGCAGGUGUCUCUCGAAGAUGCGAAGCGGCAGCUGCGCGAGGCACAGGAGAAGGUACAGCGCAUCGAUAAACGGCACCUGCACGAAAUUCAGGGCUACCGACUGCCGCCGGCGGUGGUGAAGCAUGUGAUGGAUGCCGUGCUCUGCGUGCUCGGCGAGAAGGCGAAGAACUGGACCGCAGUGGUCACUGCUAUGCGCAGCCCGUCCUUCAUAUCGAACGUUGUGUCCUUCCACCACGCGCAGCUCACGCCGGCAGACGUGCAGGAGCUGAAGAAGAACUUUAUAUCUAGCCCGCGCUUCUCUUACGCUGAUGUGCUCAGAGGCAGCCACGCCCUUGGUCAGUUCCACGAGUGGGUGAUACGUCAGCUACAGCUGAUAGAGGCGGAAAGCGCUCAUGCAAAGUUUUUUGGGGGGAAGAGGGAGAGCAGCCAGGAGCUCGCCCUCGCCCGCGAAAAGGUCGAGGCAGAAGCAGCGGAGCUGCGGCAUCUCGAGGAGGAGCUCGAGGCCCUCAUGCGCGAGCAGGCGCGUCAGCUGCAGGAGCGGCGCUCCCGCACGCUUAGCCCGUGCCUUGCGGGCGGCGAAGCACUGUCUCAGCGUCCUUCGCCACCUCUCACAAAGGUCCUCCUGCCAGCUUCCGAGUCGGAGGGAGCGGCGAUGCCGGAUCCGCAGCGCUCCCGCCGGCCAUCGAUGCACGCCACCAGCGGUGCGGAGGCAAUGGCGAACAAUAACGGGGCCGCGGCAGUCAGUGAUGGCGCGCAGCGGCGGUCGAGCACCUCGGUCACUGCCAUCGCCGUGCCGGCUGGGUGCUCCGCAGCGCCGCACACCGCAGCCGACGCAGCUGCUGCGAUGACAGACAGCGCCAUGGAGAUGACGACGGACGGCGUGGCCGCUGUAAAUCGCCCUCCUACGGCGGUGAUGCUCGCACAGCAGCAGCAGCUGGCCCCGGCGAUGGUGUCUCCGGGUAUUCGGUGGAUAUGCCCGCAUCCAGGCGCUCUGCACAGCAGCAGCUACGUUCUUCGCAGCAGCAUCCUGUGUGUCUUGGGUCAUCAGCAGGAGCGCACGAGCGAGAAGCCUGGUGAGGCCUCCCCUGACAACGAAACGACAACACCAGCGCCGGACAUGUUCGAGCUCACGACGGCGCAGCAGCAGUUUGUUGCAGAAGCCCUUCAUGGCCCUGUGCGGGCCCUGCCGCCGCCGCCGCCGUCAUCCGCGACAGCGGGAAGCGAACGCUCCUCGCACGCGGCCAUUGUCACGCAGCAUACAAAAACCUUCACGGGGAAGGAAUGGGAAACGGUGGUGAAGAACUCACCUGACAAGCUGCACCGAGCCUUUGUGGAAGAUGUGGCCAUGAUCUGCCAGGUGCCAAACCGCGCUGUGACAGGCGUUGCGUGGGUGCUCCAGGGCCUACAUGUGCAGUGUGCCGUAUGCCACCCCUCCAGCGACAGCAGCGAGGCCGUGCAAGCAGCCAUUGAGAAGGGGGCGUACCCGACAGUCAUGGCUCUGUACGCGCAGCGGCAGUGCACACCUGACUCGUUGGACGAGGAAAGCACACGUCAGCGGCAUCAGGCGGUGUGUCUGGCGUCGAUGAAAGAAGAGAUCCGGGCGGCGCAGGAGGCGGAGGCGGAGGCCCGCCGCGAGACUCAGUCGCUGCGCGAUGCCUUCGAGAAGGAAAAACAGGCAUUGAUGAAGCAGCUGGAGGUGGCGCAGACAUCGAGUCAGGCGGGCGACCACGACGACGUCCGCGCGGACCUGACCCUCCAGGAGGCGCUUGAGACGCGCACGGCUCAGCUCGGGCACGUCCAGGCGUCGCUGGCAGAGAGCCAAGCGAAGGCCAAACGCGCGGAGGACCAACUCACGACUGCGCAGGUUCAGCUGGCCGCGGCAGAAAAGCGGGCAGCGAAGGUGGAGGCCGAUGCCGACGCAGCCCGCACCGCGGCAGAUCUGGCGGCGAUAAACGCGGAGAAGGCCUUGGAAGAUCUUGGGAGUCAGCUGCGCGCCGCCCACGCAGCCUUUGAGGGGGAACGGACUAGACGCCAGACGGAGCUCGUCGAGGCGCAAGCCGCAGCGGCAGCGCGCGAGACGCGGCUUCUGCGGCAGCUAGACGCCAUGAAGCAUCGGCUGGCGGAUGCGCAGCCGCGCGAGAAGGCCAUGGAGGAGGAUGAGAAGGCCCGGCAAGAUUUCACGGCGGCGGCAGAUGCGAGGCGAGCGGCGGAGCACGCAGCCCAAGUGGCGGAGCUGGAGCGGAAGCUGAGGGAGGCAUUGUCAGCACAGGCAUCUCUUCAGGAAGAGCACAAGCACUUUCGCGAUGAGCUGGCGAGGGCUCAAGCGCAGGCCGCGGAGAACGAGAAGACGCGUCUUCAACUACAAGAAAGCAUGGAAUCCGUGCGAAAGCAGCGGGGGUAUCAGCAACAACACGGCGCCAUAGCAGCUGCGAUCCCUUUGGAGCACUGCAGGAAGAACUGUUUUGAACGCGCCCAGGUGCGUGCGGCCGAGGCGGAUGCGAGCCUUGUAGAGGCCUUGCGCGCGCAGCUGACCGCAAUCGAGGUGGCCAUAAACUUCUGCAGAGCAGAGCUGGAGGUCCAGAAGUCGGCAGAGGCGGCUGCACGAGAGCGGCAAGCGGCGCGGCGUGCGGCAGUCACAGCCAUACGGGAAAAGAUCGAGGAUCUUGCUGAGAAUUUUACUACUGUGGCCGCCGAGCGACAGCGUCAGCUCCCUCAGCAGCUCGCCUCGGAGAAGGAGGCGCUCAUCGGUGAGCUCAUCGCCCAGCUUGAAGAGGUAGAGCAUGAGAAGGCGGAGAUCAAGACUGCAACUGCCCGCGCACAGCGCUUGUUCGCCACGAUGCAGCGGCAAGUAGCGGAUGCGCAGGAACGCGCAGCGCAGCUGGAGGAAGCGCGUCGGACGGCAUGCAAGGAGUUACAAGCAAUGACAGCAACGGUUUCUGCUGAGGACGCCGACAACUCUAUCACGGAUGCGAAGCUGGUGCGCAGUGGCAGCAUGCAAGGCCAUCAAGAGGCGCUUGUGGACAUCAGCGCGCGCGUGAUUGCUGCGUCGGCGGCGUUGGCGAGCGCCAGCGACGCCCUUGCGACACACCAGCAGCAGCGUGCUGCGGAACCGAAGCAGGAGGAGGCGUUUAUCGCCAACAUAUUCCGCGAGGGUGACGGUCGCCGCCGCCGCCCCAACCGCGAGUGCUCUGAGCUGGCGGCGCAGAUAAUGGGCGAAGUUUACGACGCUGCCACCGGCUCCUUCCUUAGCCGGCACCGGUGGACGUGGAUGAAUGUCUGCCUUGGUGUGCUGCUGUUGCUCUCCUUCACGACGCUCCAGUACAAGAAAUACGAGGUGUGAGAGGCUGUUGGGCGUGGGCGGCGGCGGCGGUGGCAUAGGAGGUCGUGGUCGAGGUGGCGGUCGUGUUUUGUACAACACGAACUCAUCCGCUCCUCGUCCCCACCUCUCUCCCCCAUCGACACAGCCGCAUCGCGCACGUGUAAUGCGCACGGUUGUAUCUGUGUAUGUAUAUGCGCGUGUGUGUGUACUCGUAGCAUGUGAUGUACUUGUCGUCUUGUGUAUCAUCAUCGGCUCGACGAAGCAGUGCCAACGAAAAG
rnacentral:misc_RNA from 1 species